rnacentral:rRNA from 1 species
AUACGGAGGGUGCAAGCGUUAAUCGGAAUUACUGGGCGUAAAGCGCGCGUAGGCGGUUUGAUAAGUCGGAUGUGAAAUCCCCGGGCUCAACCUGGGAAUUGCAUUCGAUACUGUCAGGCUAGAGUGUGGUAGAGGGAAGUGGAAUUUCCGGUGUAGCGGUGAAAUGCGUAGAUAUCGGAAGGAACACCAGUGGCGAAGGCGGCUUCCUGGACCAACACUGACGCUGAGGUGCGAAAGCGUGGGGAGCAAACAGGAGUAGAAACCCCAGUAGUCC